CUGAUCGGAAGAUUCAGAAGUGAAACAGAUGGGCAGCCCACCACAAGUUUUCAGUUGACUUAUGGAACCAAAAAACCCCAGUCUGGUGGAAAGAGACCUUGUUUUAGUGACUAGGGUAUGAGAAUAGAGAAUGCCACUUCCGCACUCAAUGCCUAGGCCUGAUUUAUUUCCGAAACUCUGACCCCACACGUGAAAGGAAGGAGGCAUACCCCGGCCAAAAGGCUCUGUGAUAACAUGACAGGGUUAUACUGUACCUUUUCCUCCUCAUCUUCUCCAAAGAGACAGGACAUGAUGCUGGCAUUCGAUGACAUCAAACUAAUAGGACUUGGAGGCAGGACAUAGCAGGUGCUGUAGACACCUUGGAUAAGAUACAUAUGUGCCCAAAGUGAGAGAUGUAGCCCAUGGAAGUAUAAAGGGCUGCCACCUCAUUAAAGUAUAAAUCUCUUAUAAAGUCCAAGGAUUUGGAUGUCAUCUUCAAAGGAAGAGGUCUCACGGACUCCUCUGGUUCUGAUCAAGAAACUCACUUUACAAUUUAAGAAGAAAAUGGGCUGAUGUUUAUGGUGUUUAUGGUUCAGGUGUUUCUCCAUGUAUCCUGGCAGAAGCAGGCAGCCUUAAGCAGUCCAUAGGUUACAGGAUAUAAAGACGGAAGCCAGCUGGAACUAGAGAAAGAACAUCACCGAGAGAGAUCCUGCAUGUGAAGCUGGAUGCGCUGAUGAGACCUUGCGGUGUCUCCUUUUUGGACUGAGGGAGUGUCCCGUAAGGAGCGAUUUAAUGAAAAAGAAACCAUCUUGGAAUUUUCCGCAGCCCAUGAUUUGAGAUAACUGGCGUUGUAACCAACAGCCUGUCUGGAUCAAGAAUGGACGCCUGCAGGUGACAGCUCCCUCCACAAACCUUCUUCUGAUUUCUCCAGUAGAACGACAUAGAUAGCACCUCGCUAUGUCCCUUACAGACUGCACUAAAGAACUCAAGCUGUUCACCAACUGCUCUGCCUUUCAGAUGAACGACAGAGGAUGCGAGGAUUGCGACCAUGUAAUAGGAGAUGUUGAACAAAAAGUGAUUAAAAAGCAAGAUCUCAAGUUACUCCUGCCACUGAGGCAUUUAGUUGCACAGGAAAUGCCAGAGCGUUGUGCAAAUGGAGGAGCCAUUUUCACUUCUCACCUCAAGCUGGAAGGGACUUCUCUGGCCAGAGGGCCUUUAAAACCCCUUUUUGUCACCGCAGUCUGUAAUGAAUACAGCCACUAGAAGAGAAGCCACUAUAACGGCAGAGCCCAUCUCUAACCUCGGUUAGAGAUUCGGAGUGCCAGCCCCCUCAGCUGUUCCCAGACUCAGCGUGCAAACACUGUCCCUUCAGCGUGUGCGGAAAACGACGUUUAGUAAUCAGAUCCUGUAGAAAGAGGCAGACCUCCCAGUGCAGGGCACACUGUGAGAUGGGGAGACGUGCGCUGCCUACAGAGAAUUAGACCCAACCUGCCCCUCUGCUUUAGGGCCAUCACCAGAAUCAUCUGAAGCAGAGCGGGAGCUGGGGAUCAGAACCCACCAUGGGUUGCUACGCAGUGUGUGCUAUUGCCCCCCUUCAGUCAUUCUCAGUGCUUCAUUUUGCCAUAUUCAUAAAGUUCUGAGCUUGGAGAAUUCUAAGGCAAUAUUAGAGUCUUCUAGAAAAAU
ensembl:lncRNA